GACAGAGGCCUCAAGCGUUAGGCGGAAUCACUGGGCUUAAAGCGUGUGUAGGCGGACGCCUAAGUACCUUGUGAAAUCCCACGGCUCACCCGUGGAACGGCUGGGUAUACUGGGCGUCUUGGGCCAACUAGGGGCAACUGGAACAAGCGGUGGAGCGGUGAAAUGCGUAGAUAUCGGGAGGAACACCAGUGGCGAAGGCGAUCACCUGGGGUUGUUCUGACGCUGAGGAGCGAAAGCUAGGGGAGCAAACGGG
rnacentral:rRNA from 1 species